UCCCUGGUGGUCUAAUGGCUAGGAUUCCUGGUUUACAUCCAGGCUACCCAGGUUCAAUUCCUGGGCAGGGAA